rnacentral:rRNA from 1 species
GGGGGAGUAACAUCCGGAAACGGGUGCGUAAUACCGCAUAGUUUUACUUUGAUCGCAUGAUUGAGAAGGAAAGAUGGCCUUUGUGCUGUCGCUUAUGGAUGGACCCGCGGCGUAUUAGUUAGUUGGUGAGGUAACGGCUCACCAAGACGAUGAUACGUAGCGACCUGAGAGGGUGAUCGGCACAUUGGGACUGAGACACGGCCCAAACUCCUACGGGAGGCAGCAGUAGGGAAGUCUUCCGCAAUGGACGAAAGUCUGACGGAGCAACGCCGCGUGAGUGAAGAAAAGGUUUUCGGAUCGUAAAACUCUGUUGUCAGAGAAGAACAAGUUGGAGAGUAACUGCUCCAGCCUUGACGGUAUCUGACCAGAAAGCCACGGCUAACUACGUGCCAGCCGCCGC